GCUUAUCACCAUUCCAGAUUGAAUAUACCCGAUCUCGUCUGAUCUCGGAAGUCAAGCAAUCUCGGGCUUGGUUAGUAGUUGGGUGGGUGACCGCUUGGGAAUAACAAGUGUGAUAAGCA
rnacentral:rRNA from 1 species